GUGCUCACUUCAGCACAUAUACUAAAAUUGGAGCAAAAUAGAGAUGAGCACAGCCCCUAAGCAAGGGAUGACUCGCAAAUUCAUAAAGUGUUCCAUAUUUAA
ensembl:snRNA U6 U6 spliceosomal RNA